rnacentral:lncRNA from 1 species
CCAGUCUGUGGUAUUCUGUUAUGGCAGCAGAAAAUAGACUAAGAAAUAAGGCAAGAACCUUCAGCUAAAUCAUGUCAGCAUUGGAACAUGAUCCUAAAACCCAGAGUCUUUAUGCAAUAUCAUGCUAUCUCAAUUUGGAUUCUUGCAGAAGCUGAGCCUGAGGCAAUGAUGUGGGUGCAAUAUCGUUUAUUUGGGAGGUGAAGAAAGCACUGAAAGAGGAAUGGGACAGUGGAACAGGGAAGGGGAGAAACCAAAACAGAGCCUUUCGUCCACCCCACCGUCUCGUGCUUUGCCUCUCCAGAUCCUCCAGCCAAGAUCCAUCUUCAGAUCAGGCAUCCAAGUCAGAUGGAGGAGGCCAGGCCUUGGCUGUGUAAUCCAGGAGCUCCAAUCUCAGCUGUUUGCUCCCCUCUUGGGAAAGGUAUAUUUGUGUCUAUGAAGACCCCAAGUGCUACCCACGAGGGCAGAACAGAUCCAAGGAAGGGGCAUGUUCCACAGGAGGUAUCAGGCUUAUGAACUACAGUAUCAUCACAUUUAUAAACAGAAACCAGGAAAUCAUGUCCAGGGACCAGCGUACUCAUGUGCAUGUGUUCCAGAAAUUCAAGUGUGAGGGGGGACCAUCUUUCCAAGGAUGGACUCCAUUCAAGUCCUUCAUUCUUACCCCCAACAAAUCCACUGAGAAUAAUUCCAUCUGGAGAGAGAGAGAGAGCUAAGCACAGGAGUCCCUUUCUUCUUUCCAACCAACCAGGACCUCGAGGGAUGCCUGUUCUCUGCCAUCCCCCACCUGAGUUUGGGGACCUCAGACAGGGGCCUGAGCUGG